rnacentral:misc_RNA from 1 species
AAAAAAUGGUGAGAUUUAGCAGAGCGCUGUUGAAAGAAGCAAGGAAUGGAAUCAACAAAACUCUCUCAGAAAUUCUGGUCUGCCCACUCUCCAAGCAACCCUUGAGGUAUUGUGAGGAAACGAAUUCUCUUGUCAGCGAUGCUAUCGGUGUCUCUUAUCCUAUAAAGGAUGGGAUCCCUUGCUUAGUUCCAAGGGAUGGCAAGAUAAUUGAAACUGAUGAGGACAUAAAACCUGAUGGUGCUUCUGAUUCAUCUGCAAAGAAUUAGGAGUAAUGAUGAGAGAGUCAAUAAGCUCAAACAGAUGUGACUGAAAUGCUAUUUGCCAUUGGUAGAAGUAACUACUUUUUACUGGGUUGACGUGAAUCUGGUGAACUUGUUCUUUCCGUAAUACAAAUCCUUUUCUUAUAUUUGUCAGGC